AUUGAACGCUGGCGGCAGGCCUAACACAUGCAAGUCGAGCGAUCGGCGGACGGGUGAGUAAUGGCUGGGAAACUGCCCGAUGGAGAGGGAUAACUACUGGAAACGGUAGCUAAUACCACAUACUAUCAGAUGUGCCCCGAUGGGAGUAGUUAGUAGGUGGGGUAACGGCGCACCUAGGCGACGAUCCCGAGCUGGUCUGAGAGGAUGACCAGCCACACUGGAACUGAGACACGGUCCAGACUCCUACGGGAGGCAGCAGUGGGGAAUAUUGCACAAUGGGCGCAAGCCUGAUGCAUCCAUGCCGCGUGUGUGAAGAAGGUCUUCGGGUUGUAAAGCACUUUCAGCGGUGAGGCGUUACCCGCAGAAGAAGCACCGGCUAACUCCGUGCCAGCAGCCGCGGUAAUUC
rnacentral:rRNA from 1 species